rnacentral:rRNA from 1 species
CGCGGCCUAUCAGCUUGUUGGUGAGGUAAUGGCUCACCAAGGCGACGACGGGUAGCCGGCCUGAGAGGGCGACCGGCCACACUGGGACUGAGACACGGCCCAGACUCCUACGGGAGGCAGCAGUGGGGAAUAUUGCACAAUGGGCGAAAGCCUGAUGCAGCGACGCCGCGUGAGGGAUGACGGCCUUCGGGUUGUAAACCUCUUUCAGCAGGGAAGAAGCGAAAGUGACGGUACCUGCAGAAGAAGCGCCGGCUAACUACGUGCCAGCAGCCGCGGUAAUACGUAGGGCGCAAGCGUUGUCCGGAAUUAUUGGGCGUAAAGAGCUCGUAGGCGGCUUGUCACGUCGGGUGUGAAAGCCCGGGGCUUAACCCCGGGUCUGCAUUCGAUACGGGCUAGCUAGAGUGUGGUAGGGGAGAUCGGAAUUCCU